rnacentral:rRNA from 1 species
AUUGAACGCUGGCGGCAGGCCUAACACAUGCAAGUCGAGCGGAGCGGCGGACGGGUGAGUAAUGCCUAGGAAUCUGCCUGGUAGUGGGGGAUAACGUCCGGAAACGGGCGCUAAUACCGCCUAAUAUCAGAUGAGCUUCGGUAGGAUUAGCUAGCUGGUGGGGUAAAGGCCUACCAAGGCGACGAUCCGUAACUGGUCUGAGAGGAUGAUCAGUCACACUGGGACUUAGACACGGUCCAGAUUCCUACGGGAGGCAGCAGUAGGGAAUAUUGGACAAUGGGCGAAAGUCUUAUCGAGCCAAGCCGCGUGAGUGAAGAAGGUCUUCGGAUUGUAAAGCACUUUAAUUAGGGAGGCGUUACCAACAGAGUAAGCACCGGCUAACUACGUGCCAGCAGCCGCGGUAAUAC